UCCCAAUUCCCACCCCCACACCAAAAGGGACCCGCAACUAAACAGAGGAUUUGGCACAAUGCCACCACACAAGGUUAUCAUCAGAGAGUAAGAAAUAAAUGCCGUCGACUUCGAGGAGCGUCAGAGUGAUCGAAGGACUCUUGUCACCACUCACACACACCACACCACAAGAUCUGAAUGCCGACUUCGGACGUCGCAAUUCUUCAGACUCCAUAGUUUGAGAUCCUGGACGGACUUGAUGAAUGACAAUCAGGCAAGGGCGCAAGGAUCUGUCUAUGCUUCGUUGGAGCAACAUACUCCUAUCUGCGUGCCCAUGGAGCCGGCGGCCUCUUAGCCCCAAUCAACGGGCAGAUUGGGAGGGUUUGCCAGGACCUCACCUCACGCCGGGACCGAUGUCCGUAAUUUCUGCAGUAUGCGUGCAUUUGCAUUCCAAUUGCUACUACUGUCAUGUCAAAUCACUGUAUGAUGUGCUAGGUGAUUGUUGGUAAGAUUGCGGUAGGGAGGAGGGGGACAUUAGCGGGAAGAUUGAGAAGACUGUCAGGUGCCAAAGCAAGCCCAGGCAUAUUUUACUAGGCGUCCUGUAUAGUAUUCGCUCCAGAGUCCAGACGCACAUGGAUCCUACCUCGUGUUUGCAACCAGGUAGUAGAGACAAGUCGCGGAAACCAACGUUUAUCUCUGUACUCUUGUCGGGUCAACGGUUAGUACAAACGUCCCUAGCAAUUGCUAGUACUAUUAAUUUGGUGAUCAUUGUUGCCGCUUGCUUCUUAAUGAUGCCAAAUCCAAACUAAAUCUAGAGUACCAGUAACAUGGCCUGUGUAAGUGUGUACUGCUGAUAUCGUCCUGGGUAACUAUUGUUCAGCAGGGGUGGGAUUUCUGGAAAGCAUGCUCACCGGAUCGAUCAGAGGGUACGUUGGAAGUAGAAUUGAAUAAUCCGAUUUUUAAUUACCAGGAUCGAUGCUGAGAUUUACUCAGAGGGCAGCAGGAGCGCUCUUUUGAUAGCUUGCAGAGGAUUGCAGUCGCAGUGCUGUCUGCGCUUCAGCGCUUUGGUUACAGUUCGCUGCAUGCCCUUCGAUCGGGUGCCGGCAAAUUGUGAACGGCAAACUGCACCACUCCUCCCAGCUAGCCCAGUAUAUACCAACACACACCGGCCAUAUUAAUUUCUGCUCGACCAACAUCGCGGCGUGCAUGCCAUGGUCUAUCUGAAAUCGCUUUGAGGUUCGGGUCGAUGAGGCGGCCAAUCCUACAAGCUUGCUCGAUCGGUUGCUCCCAAGAUACAUAGCAGCUCCCAUGUGACCGAUCGAUGCCGAAUUGCCGAUGCGAUGCAAUGUGAGACAGCAGUGGGAGUUGAGAAACGAGGAUGGCUAUAAUAGAUAUGUACUCCCUCCAUACCUAAAUUAAUUGACGUCCUAGGCUUAAGAUGUGUUUUCGCAAAA